GCUGGGCGUGGUGGCGGACGCCUGUAAUCCCAGCUACUUGGGAGGCUGAGGCAGGAGAAUUGCUUGAGCCUGGGAGGUGGAGGUUGCAGUGAGCCAAGAUCAAGCCAUGGCACUCCAGCCUAGGCAACAAAGCAAGACUCCAUCUCAA
ensembl:misc_RNA Metazoa_SRP Metazoan signal recognition particle RNA